UACGAAGGGUGCAAGCGUUACUCGGAAUUACUGGGCGUAAAGGGUGCGUAGGUGGUUUUUUAAGUCCGUUGUGAAAUCCCUGGGCUCAACCUGGGAAUGGCAGUGGAUACUGGAAAGCUAGAGUGCGGUAGAGGGUAGUGGAAUUCCCGGUGUAGCAGUGAAAUGCGUAGAGAUCGGGAGGAACACCAGUGGCGAAGGCGGCUACCUGGACCAUUACUGACGCUGAUGCACGAAAGCUAGGGGAGCAAACAGG
rnacentral:rRNA from 1 species